rnacentral:rRNA from 1 species
UGGCUUUAAGUUUUUAAGGGCACACGGUGGAUGCCUUGGCACCAGGAACCGAAGAAGGACGUAGGAAUCUGCGAUAAGCCUCGGGGAGUCGAUAACCAGAUCAUUGAUCCGAGGAUUUCCGAAUGGGGAAACCCGGCUGGAUUCAUCUCCAGUCACCCUCGCCUGAACACAUAGGGCGAGUGGAGGGAACGUGGGGAAGUGAAACAUCUCAGUACCCACAGGAAGAGAAAGCAACCGCGAUUCCGUGAGUAGUGGCGAGCGAAAGCGGAAGAGGCCAAACCGAUCAUGUGUGAUAGCUGGUAGGCGUUGCAUGGUCGGGGUUGUGGGACCUUUUUACUGUCUCUACCAAGACAGUGCGGAGUAAAAAAUUCGUGUCAUAGACGAAGGGCUUGGAAGGGCCCGGCACAGAGGGUGAGACCCCCGUAGUCGAAAUGUCAUGAACUCCGUGGAAGUGCUCCCAAGUAGUACGGGGCCCGAGAAAUCCCGUACGAAUCUGGCAGGACCACCUGCUAAGCCUAAAUAUUCCCUGGUGACCGAUAGCGGACAAGUACCGUGAGGGAAAGGUGAAAAGUACCCCGGGAGGGGAGUGAAAUAGAUCCUGAAACCGUGUGCCUACAAUCCGUCGGAGCCUCCUUGUGGGGUGACGGCGUGCCUUUUGAAGAAUGAGCCUGCGAGUUAGUGCUCAGUGGCGAGGUUAACCCGUGUGGGGAAGCCGUAGCGAAAGCGAGUCCGAACAGGGCGAUUGAGUCGCUGGGUCUAGACCCGAAGCGGAGUGAUCUACCCAUGGCCAGGUUGAAGCGCGGGUAAGACCGCGUGGAGGACCGAACCCACUUAGGUUGAAAACUGAGGGGAUGAGCUGUGGGUAGGGGUGAAAGGCCAAUCAAACUCCGUGAUAGCUGGUUCUCCCCGAAAUGCAUUUAGGUGCAGCGUCAUGUGUUUCUUACCGGAGGUAGAGCUACUGGAUGGCUAAUGGGCCUUACCAGGUUACUGACGUCAGCCAAACUCCGAAUGCCGGUAAGUAAGAGCAUGGCAGUGAGACUGCGGGCGAUAAGGUUCGUAGUCGAGAGGGAAACAGCCCAGAUCACCAGCUAAGGUCCCUAAGCGUGUGCUAAGUGGGAAAGGAUGUGGAGUUGCUGUGACAACCAGGAGGUUGGCUUAGAAGCAGCCACCCUUUAAAGAGUGCGUAAUAGCUCACUGGUCAAGUGAUUCCGCGCCGACAAUGUAGCGGGGCUCAAGCACACCACCGAAGCUGUGGCAUUGACGCAUUUGCCUGGCCAGAUCCUUGAGGUCUGGUCCAAGCGUGUCGAUGGGUAGGGGAGCGUCGUGUGGCGAGAGAAGCGGCGGAGUGAUCCAGUCGUGGAUGCCACACGAGUGAGAAUGCAGGCAUGAGUAGCGAAUGACGGGUGAGAAACCCGUCCGCCGAAUAACCAAGGGUUCCAGGGUCAAGUUAAUCUGCCCUGGGUUAGUCGGGACCUAAGGCGAGGCCGACAGGCGUAGUCGAUGGACAACCGGUUGAUAUUCCGGCUUACCGGCGAAGAACCGACCAAUACCGAAUCAUCUGAUGCUAAGCGCCUGAAGCGUGUUGAUCUCUUCGGAGUGAUACUCGUGGAACGCGCGACCCGAGGUUGUAGUAGGUAAGCGAUGGAAGGACGCAGGAAGGUAGCCUCCGCGUGGCGAUGGUAGUCCACGUCUAAGAGUGCAAGGCGGGGUGUAGGCAAAUCCGCACCCCAUGUGCCCCAGGCUUGAUAGUGACCGCGUAUGUGGGAAGAGGGUGAUCCUAUGCUGCCUAGAAAAGUUCCUAGCGAGGUUCGAGCCGCCCGUACCCUAAACCGACUCAGGUGGUUAGGUAGAGAAUACCAAGGCGAUCGAGUGAAUCGUGGUUAAGGAAUUCGGCAAAAUACCCCCGUAACUUCGGGAGAAGGGGGGCCCAGAGGGUGACGGCACUUGCUGCCCGAGCCCGAACGGCCGCAGAGACCAGGGAGAAGCGACUGUUUACUAAAAACACAGGUCCGUGCGAAGUUGCAAAACGAUGUAUACGGACUGACGCCUGCCCGGUGCUGGAACGUUAAGGGGACGGGUUAGCCUUACGGCGAAGCUCUGAACUUAAGCGCCAGUAAACGGCGGUGGUAACUAUAACCAUCCUAAGGUAGCGAAAUUCCUUGUCGGGUAAGUUCCGACCUGCACGAAUGGCGUAACGACUUCUCCACUGUCUCAACCACGAACUCGGCGAAAUUGCACUACGAGUAAAGAUGCUCGUUACGCGCAGCAGGACGGAAAGACCCCGGGACCUUUACUAUAGCUUGGUAUUGGUGUUCGGUACGGCUUGUGUAGGAUAGGUGGGAGACUAUGAAGCCGGCACGCCAGUGUCGGUGGAGUCAACGUUGAAAUACCACUCUGGUCGUUCUGGAUAUCUAACCUCGGUCCGUGAUCCGGAUCAGGGACAGUGCCUGGUGGGUAGUUUAACUGGGGCGGUUGCCUCCCAAAGAGUAACGGAGGCGCCCAAAGGUUCCCUCAGCCUGGUUGGCAAUCAGGUUUCGAGUGUAAGUGCACAAGGGAGCUUGACUGUGAGACAGACAUGUCGAGCAGAGACGAAAGUCGGGACUAGUGACCCGACGGUGGCUUGUGGAAGCGCCGUCGCUCAACGGAUAAAAGGUACCCCGGGGAUAACAGGCUGAUCCUGCCCAAGAGCUCAUAUCGACGGCAUGGUUUGGCACCUCGAUGUCGGCUCGUCGCAUCCUGGGGCUGGAGUCGGUCCCAAGGGUUGGGCUGUUCGCCCAUUAAAGCGGUACGCGAGCUGGGUUUAGAACGUCGUGAGACAGUUCGGUCCCUAUCCGCUGCGCGCGUUGGAAACUUGAGAAGAGCUGACCCUAGUACGAGAGGACCGGGUUGGACGAACCUCUGGUGUGUCAGUUGUCCUGCCAAGGGCACCGCUGAUUAGCUACGUUCGGACGUGAUAACCGCUGAAAGCAUCUAAGCGGGAAGCACACUUCAAGAUGAGGUUUCCAUGGGGCUCGACCCCGAGAGGCUCCCAGCUAGAACACUGGGUUGAUAGGCCGGAUGUGGAAGUGCAGUAAUGCACGGAGCUGACCGGUACUAAUAAGCCGAUGACUUAAACA